GAAUAAGCACCUGCUAACUCUGUGCCAGCAGCCGCGGUAAUACAGAGGGUGCAAGCGUUAUCCGGAUUUAUUGGGCGUAAAGCGUUUCGUAGGCGGUAAGGUAAGUUACACUUCAAAGGCCAGGGCUUAACCUUGGAAAGGGGUGUAAUACUGUCUUACUUGAAAUGUUUCGGGGUUAUCGGAACUCUCGGUGUAGGGGUGAAAUCCGUUGAUAUCGAGAGGAACACCAAGGGCGAAGGCAGAUAACUAGGAACCUUUUGACGCUGAGGAACGACAGCUAGGGGAGCGAAUGGGAUUAGAGACCCCAGUAGUCCUAGCCGUAAACUUUGCUCGCUAGUCCCCUCGGUUUUUCCGAGAGGGCGUAAGCUAACGCGUUAAGCGAGCCGCCUGGGGAGUACGGCCGCAAGGCUCCGCCUGGGGAGUACGGCCGCAAGGCUAAAACUCAAAGGAAUUGACGGGAACCUGCACAACCAGUGGAGCAUGUGGUUUAAUUCGAGACGAACCGAAGAACCUUACCAGGCUUUGACAUGCUACCGUUUUAACUUUCCAGAAAUGGAGAGCUAUCCGUAAGGAUGGUAGCACAGGUGUUGCAUGGCCGUCGUCAGCUCGUGCCGUGGGGUGUUCCCUUCAGUGGGGUAACGAGCGCAACCCCUGCCAAAUGUUGAAUAUUCAUUUGGGACUGUCCGAUUUUUUAUCAGACGGAAGUGGGGACGACGUCAGGUCAGCAUGGCCCUUAUAGCCUGGGCGACACACAUGCUACAAUGGAGCCGACAAUGGGUUUUGCCAAGCCGUAAGGCGGAGCUAAUCCCAUCAAACGGCUUCUCAGUGGGGAUUGAGGGCUGCAACUCGCCCUCAUGAACGCGGAAUUGGUAGUAAUCGCGGAUCAGCUAUGCCGCGGUGAAUACGUUCUCAGGUUUUGUACAAAUCACCGCCCGUCAAGUUAGUGAAGUUGGGGGCACCUGAACCUCGAUUGUAUCGGGGGAGGGUGACACCAGCGACAAGAAUUAAGUCGUAACAAGGUAUCCGUACUGGAAGGUGCGGAUGGAUCACCUCCUU
rnacentral:rRNA from 1 species